UAUCUAAGACUCUUACUACAACAAAACAAGACUAUAAAAAUUAUGAAUCUGACCAUACCAAAGCUAGGUAUGCAGGAUUGUGAAAUAAGUGAGCUAAUAAUAUCACAGGAGAUUAGCAAAAGCUUUAAACCAUGCUCUCAAGGUAUCUACCCCAAUUGACCUGACCAAAAGCUAUAGAUAAGCUGGAGCCCAUCUUGACUGCCUUCUGUGGAUAAACAGCAUCUCAUAUUUAGUUUAAUAAAGAAGGAAAAGGAAAAACCUAUCAAGGUGAAAAGAAAAACAUCACUUUACAAAACUGGAUUACACAGACCUCAAAAGUAAGUAUUAACUUUAACCAUCAGGGCCAACAGUAAAUGGAAAUAUGAAGAGAGGCUGCCUCUGGCGUGACUCCUGCAAAAAGGGUGCCAGGAGCAUCAGACUCUCUUGACUUCACGAAUUUUUCUCUUGACUUUAAAUCUUCCACAAUCUCUUAGUAUUUGGGGGAUCCCAGUUUUGAACAUAUAUUCACUUUAUGCAUCUGCUCCAUUACCUAAAGCUGAGAAAGCUUCCAGAAGUAUAAUCAGAAUUGCUUUAGUUCCAUCCUAGUUUGAUGGGUCUCAAUUUUUGGUGACCUUGACGGUUUUGAUGUGCAGUCUCACAAUUGUCUUGGUCUCCCUCUUUAUUAUUAUUAUUUGCUUUUAUUGAAAUUUUAGUGAGAUAGUUGUAGGUUUGCAUGAAGUUGUAAGAAAUGGCAGAGAGGUUCCUUGUACACUUUGCCAGUUUCUCCCGAUGGUGACAUUUUAUGAAACUACAUACUAUGAUACAACAACCAAGAUAUUUGAUAAAAUCUAAUGAUCUUAUCCAGAUUUCCUGAGUAUAUAGUAAGCUCUAUAUCAUUCUGUUAAGGGCCUUUAACUCUUGCCAAAUUAUUUGUCCCAAUUUUUUCUUUAGAUGUAGUUCACUUGGGACAUUUUCAAAGUAUAACCCAUCCCACGUUCAACAUGAAUGUUCUGCACCUACCCCAAAUUAGAGACUCAUUGGUUUACUAUUCAUUCCUUCAGUGGUCUACAUCAGCUUUUGCCUCAACAUUAUAAAAGAUGAAUUUUCUUGGACCUAGACAAACAUGAGUCAUCUCUGCGUUAAUCUGCUCCAUUUGGGUAUAAGAUCCAGAUUUUUCAGUUUAUUUGUUCAUGCAAAACACAUUUCCUGGUUGGUGACUGAAUCCUGAAAGUAGUAUUUAAGGAGCUUGGUGUGCAGUGGGAAAAAACAGCAUGAUCUCUGCUCUCAGAAGACUUACCAUCUCCUAGGUGUUCAAGGUUGUGCCAGCAGUAAACUUCUGCUGGAAUCACGUAGCUUCCCUAGGAAUAAUCCAUAUAUUUGAAGAAACAGGAAACUAUCUUAUAAAUGGAAUUCUAAGAGAAAUACUUUCUGACAUUCAAAGUGAUUACGCAGCUAAGUGUGAACUAAGCAAUCCAAGAUUUUUCAAAUUCAUUAUCUUGCUCUUGUGUGACAUUGGCCAAGCUUGAAAGAUAAGUUCGUAGAGUUCUUCUAAGUGGAGAGAAGGUACCACUGCCAUCCUUUCCAACCAGGCCAGAAGAUCUAUGAGGAUAAUAUAACAGGUUGAGACUUGGGGGAAGCUGGAAAGAAACAAA